AGUCAUAUCUGGUGGCCAAGGAUGACUUGCCUUGCUAUUCCAUUCAUGGGACUUUGUCUCAUAUAUAUAAUUUGAAAAUGGAGACCCUUGUUUGGUUAAUUGGGCAAGCUUCCAUGGCUAUUUGAUUGGUUCU
rnacentral:pre_miRNA from 1 species